UACGAAGGGUGCAAGCGUUACUCGGAAUUACUGGGCGUAAAGCGUGCGUAGGUGGUUUGUUAAGUCUGUUGUGAAAGCCCCGGGCUCAACCUGGGAAUGGCAAUGGAUACUGGCAAGCUAGAGUGCGGUAGAGGGUAGUGGAAUUCCCGGUGUAGCGGUGAAAUGCGUAGAGAUCGGGAGGAACACCAGUGGCGAAGGCGGCGACCUGGACGGACACUGACGCUGAGACGCGAAAGCGUGGGGAGCAAACAGG
rnacentral:rRNA from 1 species